rnacentral:misc_RNA from 1 species
AAAGUCGUAACAAGGUCUCCGUAGGUGAACCUGCGGAGGGAUCAUUAACACUAUUUGACUAGUGUCAUUGAGUAUCUCGCAAGAGAGAAAACGUGAUGCUAGUUCAGAUUUUAACAAACCGUUGAAUCUCUGUUUCAAGAAGUAGGUUGUCGUAGUGACGAAGUGAGCCCCUUGUACGUACCAUUGGUUCGUACCGGGUGGCGACUGGGCAACUUUGCCAUUGAUUCAGACCCCCUCUCUGGUGAUGCUUACACUUUACAGUGUCAUCGGGGAAAAUUCUCGCACCACAAUGACCAAUUGUCUGAUGUACAGAGCUAGUCGAAAGGCUUAUCUCUGCCCUAGAAAUCAAACUAAGCACAACUCUUAGCAACGGAUAUCUAGGUUCUC